rnacentral:rRNA from 1 species
CCUACGGGGGGCAGCAGUGGGGAAUAUUGCACAAUGGGGGGAACCCUGAUGCAGCGACGCCGCGUGGGUGAAGGAGUAUUUCGGUAUGUAAAGCCCUAUCAGCAGGGAAGAACAAUGACGGUACCUGACUAAGAAGCACCGGCUAAAUACGUGCCAGCAGCCGCGGUAAUACGUAGGGGGCAAGCGUUAUCCGGAUUUACUGGGUGUAAAGGGAGCGUAGGUGGCAUGGUAAGCCAGAAGUGAAAACCCAGGGCUCAACUCUGCGGAUUGCUUUUGGAACUAUCAAGCUAGAGUGCUGGAGGGGG